GUAGGUGGCAAGCGUUGUCCGGCAUUAUUGGGCGUAAAGCGCGCGCAGGCGGUUCUUUAAGUCUGAUGUGAAAGCCCACGGCUCAACCGUGGAGGGUCAUUGGAAACUGGAGAACUUGAGUACAGAAGAGGAAAGCGGAAUUCCACGUGUAGCGGUGAAAUGCGUAGAGAUGUGGAGGAACACCAGUGGCGAAGGCGGCUUUCUGGUCUGUAACUGACGCUGAGGCGCGAAAGCGUGGGGAGCAAACAGGAUUAGAUACCCUGGUAGUCCACGCCGUAAACGAUGAGUGCUAAGUGUUAGGGGGUUUCCGCCCCCCUUAGUGCUGCAGCUAACGCAUUAAGCACUCCGCCUGGGAGUACGGCCGCAAGGCUG
rnacentral:rRNA from 1 species